UCCCGCCCGAGUGGCGCUUUGUUACCGGAUUGCGGGCCACGUUAAACAAACCGCUAAAAAGGGUCUGGGCUUGCAGCC
rnacentral:ncRNA from 2 species